rnacentral:rRNA from 1 species
AUGAUGUGGUUUAAUUCGAUGCAACGCGAAAACCUUACCUACCCUUGACAUGCCAGGAAUCCUGCAGAGAUGUGGGAGUGCUCGCAAGAGAGCCUGGACACAGGUGCUGCAUGGCUGUCGUCAGCUCGUGUCGUGAGAUGUUGGGUUAAGUCCCGCAACGAGCGCAACCCUUGUCAUCAGUUGCUACGAAAGGGCACUCUGAUGAGACUGCCGGUGACAAACCGGAGGAAGGUGGGGAUGACGUCAGGUCCUCAUGGCCCUUAUGGGUAGGGCUACACACGUCAUACAAUGGCCGGUACAGAGGGCAGCCAACCCGCGAGGGGGGAGCCAAUCCCAGAAAACCGGUCGUAGUCCGGAUCGCAGUCUGCAACUCGACUGCGUGAAGUCGGAAUCGCUAGUAAUCGCGGAUCAGCUUGCCGCGGUGAAUACGUUCCCGGGCCUU